CCUACGGGAGGCUGCAGUGAGGAAUAUUGGUCAAUGGACGAGAGUCUGAACCAGCCAAGUAGCGUGAAGGAUGACUGCCCUAUGGGUUGUAACCUUCUUUUAUAAAGGAAUAAAACGAGGCACGUGUGCCUUUUUGCAUGUACUUUAUGAAUAAGGAUCGGCUAACUCCGUGCCAGCAGCCGCGGUAAUACGGAGGAUCCGAGCGUUAUCCGGAUUUAUUGGGUUUAAAGGGAGCGUAGAUGGGUUGUUAAGUCAGUUGUGAAAGUUUGCGGCUCAACCGUAAAAUUGCAAUUGAUACUGGCAGUCUUGAGUACAGUUGAGGUAAGCGGAAUUCGUGGUGUAGCGGUGAAAUGCUUAGAUAUCACGAAGAACCCCGAUUGCGAAGGCAGCUUACUAAACUGUGACUGACAUUGAUGCUCGAAAGUGUGGGUAUCAAACAGGAUUAGAUACCCGAGUAGUC
rnacentral:rRNA from 1 species